rnacentral:rRNA from 1 species
CUCACCUCGAGAUAAGAUUUCCCAUUACGUAAGUAAGUAAGAUCCCUGAAAGAUGAUCAGGUAGAUAGGAUGGAAGUGGAAGUGCUGUGAGGCAUGGAGCGGACCAUUACUAAUCGAUCGAGGACUUAACCAAGUAGAGAAAACGUGAGUUUUCGGUGAAAGAAAUAAAUGAUAUCUAGUUUUGAGAGAAUAAAAUCUCAAGUAAAUAGUGCGGUGAUGAUGGCACGAAGGAUACACCUGUUCCCAUUCCGAACACAGAAGUUAAGCUUCGUAACGCCGAGAGUAGUUAGAGGAACGCCUCUUGCGAGGGUAGGAAAUUGCUAUAU